GUAGGAAUCGAUGGGAUGUUGAUCAUCCAAUUGCCACCCGAAGCGAAUUUUUCAUCCAUUUAUCGUCCAUGGCCUAUAGUUCCAGAUAAAUAUUUGGCGCACCAAUCAGCAGGAAAUUUAUGGCACAAUGUCCAAAAUUGGCUAGAUGGUACGCACCCCCACUCUGGCCAGGGUCUGGGAUUCCAGGCAUAUGUAGAAAAGUGGCCGCUGCCCACCGUGUUAUGGGAGA